AUGAAAUUAUUUUGUACUUUUUCUGUAGGUGAUUCGGUAACCCAAACACAAGCAAGGCAAGCAGUAACGUCCGAUGACCCUGCAUAUGCGUAUUGUUUUGCCCUAGAUGUGAACAAGAAGUACCAUUUGCAGUGCAAUUUUCGUGACAAGCUAUUGAAAGGUGGAAUUACUAGAAUGAAGUACCAUGUUGCUUGCAUUACUGGCUUCAAUGCUGUUAAAUGUAAGAAGGUUCCAGCUGAUGUGAAGGAAGCGAUUAUUGCUUUUCUUAUGAAGAAGAGUGGUGACAAGCAAAAGAAGAAGGAUGAAGUGCAAAGGGUUCGAUCUGCAAUUAAUAUAGAGAACUCAGAUGAUGAAAGGGGUAGUGGGGACGAUUCUAACUUUGAUAGGAAUGAUGUUGUGUUGCUGAAGUCAACAAGAGGCAGUGGGACGAGUAACUCUACAAUUGUGGUAGGUAGUGGCAGUGCCACUAUUGAUAAGUUUUACAAGAAAACAUCUAUAGAAGAGUCUAUUCGCAAUAAUGAAAAGGGAUUCAACGUUAGCUAG
rnacentral:rRNA from 1 species